UCCAUAAGGAUAUUUCUAAUUAAAGCCACUUAUAUAUAUCGGACAUAUUUCUGCAGAAUGUUCUCAGCACCAAGUUUCUUAGGAGCUUCAUCUAAUUUAAAACUAUGAUAUGGUUUUAUUUACCUCCCAUUAUGUCCUCAUUUUGUGUGACAGAUUUGAGCCAUUUCAUACCUGAUUAUAACUGCAUGCCAUUUACCUUGUUAAGUUUCUAAAAUCCCCUUAAGCCAUUUCAUACCUGAUUAUAAUUGCAUGCCAUUUACCUUGUUAAGUUUCUAAAAUCCCCUUGGAUUUACCGGUAAGUAGCGAGAAGGAGUGUGAUUUUGUUGAUAUUACUGUGGUGAAACUUGUCCAAUCUAGUUUACAAAGCUCUGUAACCUUAUAUGCUAGUGGCUCACUGUACCUUAAAUUUAUUAUAUUUACAUUUCUCUCUGCAGUUAAGAUUCUUUCAAGUGUAUG
rnacentral:lncRNA from 1 species